rnacentral:rRNA from 1 species
UACCUGCGGAGGGAUCAUUACCGAGUUUACAACUCCCAAACCCCUGUGAACAUACCACUUGUUGCCUCGGCGGAUCAGCCCGCUCCCGGUAAAACGGGACGGCCCGCCAGAGGACCCCUAAACUCUGUUUCUAUAUGUAACUUCUGAGUAAAACCAUAAAUAAAUCAAAACUUUCAACAACGGAUCUCUUGGUUCUGGCAUCGAUGAAGAACGCAGCAAAAUGCGAUAAGUAAUGUGAAUUGCAGAAUUCAGUGAAUCAUCGAAUCUUUGAACGCACAUUGCGCCCGCCAGUAUUCUGGCGGGCAUGCCUGUUCGAGCGUCAUUUCAACCCUCAAGCACAGCUUGGUGUUGGGACUCGCGUUAAUUCGCGUUCCUCAAAUUGAUUGGCGGUCACGUCGAGCUUCCAUAGCGUAGUAGUAAAACCCUCGUUACUGGUAAUCGUCGCGGCCACGCCGUUAAACCCCAACUUCUGAAUGUUGACCUCGGAUCAGGUAGGAAUACCCGCUGAACUUAAGCAUAUCAAUAAG